rnacentral:tRNA from 1 species
AAGACUGUAGCAUAAUAGGUUAAUGCAGUCCGCUCAUAAUGGAUAUUAUAAGGGUUCAAAUCCCUUCGGUCUUA